UGGUGGGUAGUUUGACUGGGGCGGUCUCCUCCUAAAGAGUAACGGAGGAGCACGAAGGUCAGCUAAUCCUGGUCGGACAUCAGGAGGUUAGUGCAAUGGCAUAAGCUGGCUUGACUGCGAGCGUGACGGCGCGAGCAGGUGCGAAAGCAGGUCAUAGUGAUCCGGUGGUUCUGAAUGGAAGGGCCAUCGCUCAACGGAUAAAAGGUACUCCGGGGAUAACAGGCUGAUACCGCCCAAGAGUUCAUAUCGACGGCGGUGUUUGGCACCUCGAUGUCGGCUCAUCACAUCCUGGGGCUGAAGUAGGUCCCAAGGGUAUGGCUGUUCGCCAUUUAAAGUGGUACGCGAGCUGGGUUUAGAACGUCGUGAGACAGUUCGGUCCCUAUCUGCCGUGGGCGCUGGAGAACUGAGGGGGGCUGCUCCUAGUACGAGAGGACCGGAGUGGACGCAUCACUGGUGUUCGGGUUGUCAUGCCAAUGGCACUGCCCGGUAGCUAAAUGCGGAAGAGAUAAGUGCUGAAAGCAUCUAAGCACGAAACUUGCCCCGAGAUGAGUUCUCCCUGACCCUUUAAGGGUCCUGAAGGAACGUUGAAGACGACGACGUUGAUAGGCCGGGUGUGUAAGCGCAGCGAUGCGUUGAGCUAACCGGUACUAAUGAACCGUGAGG
rnacentral:rRNA from 1 species